GCAGUCGAGGGGCAUCGGGAGGGAAGCUUGCUUUCCUUGCCGGCGACCGGCGCACGGGUGAGUAACACGUAUGCAACCUGCCCUCUUCAGGGGGACAACCUUCCGAAAGGGAGGCUAAUCCCGCGUAUAUCGGUUUCGGGCAUCCGAGAUCGAGGAAAGAUUCAUCGGAAGAGGAUGGGCAUGCGGCGCAUUAGCUUGACGGCGGGGUAACGGCCCACCGUGGCGACGAUGCGUAGGGGUUCUGAGAGGAAGGUCCCCCACACUGGAACUGAGACACGGUCCAGACUCCUACGGGAGGCAGCAGUGAGGAAUAUUGGUCAAUGGGCGGAAGCCUGAACCAGCCAAGUCGCGUGAGGGAAUAAGGCCCUACGGGUCGUAAACCUCUUUUGCCGGGGAGCAAGGGCCGGGACGUGUCCCGGCCCGGAGAGUACCCGGAGAAAAAGCAUCGGCUAACUCCGUGCCAGCAGCCGCGGUAAUACGGAGGAUGCGAGCGUUAUCCGGAUUUAUUGGGUUUAAAGGGUGCGUAGGCGGGCUUUUAAGUCAGCGGUAAAAAUUCGGGGCUCAACCCCGUCCGGCCGUUGAAACUGGGGGCCUUGAGUGGGCGAGAAGAAGGCGGAAUGCGUGGUGUAGCGGUGAAAUGCAUAGAUAUCACGCAGAACCCCGAUUGCGAAGGCAGCCUUCCGGCGCCCUACUGACGCUGAGGCACGAAAGUGCGGGGAUCGAACAGGAUUAGAUACCCUGGUAGUCCGCACAGUAAACGAUGGAUGCCAGCUGUCCGGGCCGAAUGGGGCCUGGGUGGCAAAGCGAAAGCGUUAAGCAUCCCACCUGGGGAGUACGC
rnacentral:rRNA from 1 species